GCAUCAUUGUUUAAAAAUUGGUUCUCUUAGGGCUCAAGCAUAUGACAUCACAGUCUAGGCUUUUAAAUGGGAGGGCUCUACUCUGGCCCUUUGCCAGUUUAUGCUCCUUUCUGUGCUGUUCGUUUUUGGUUCAGAUUUUGACUUUUUCCAUGUUCCUGUUUUACUGAUUUUCCGUGUUCCUGCUUCCAGUAUAGCUUCUUUGGCUUGACUGACUACUUGAUUUCAUGCUACAUACUGCGGCUUCUCUUACUACCUGAUUUUGGUAUUCCUUACUCUUCGUUUUUUACAAUGUUCUGGUGUCUGUAUUAUAUGUUAAGAUCAGUCACUCUACAGUCUAGUUACACACCUGUCUAUCCCUGUAUGUUUCUUCAGCAAUGAGUUACUUACCUGUUCUUGCUUACCCGUCUGUUCACCUAUAACUGCGUUCCCAUACUUACCUUUCCGAGGCCUAGACCCUAAUAAGGACCUAACAAAUCCUAUAAGGUAUUACAUGGCACAGUAAAGUCUUUAUUGUUCAGUUCACC